rnacentral:tRNA from 1 species
GGAUCAGUAGCUUAGUUGGUAAAAGCGGCGGCUUAUAUAAGCCGAAGAUCCACGGUUCAAGCCCGUGCUGAUCCA